AUUGAACGCUGGCGGCAGGCCUACCACAUGCAAGUCGAACGAGUGGCGGACGGGUGAGUAAUGUCUGGGAAACUGCCCGAUGGAGGGGGAUAACUACUGGAAACGGUAGCUAAUCCCGCGUACCAUCGGAUGUGCCCAGAUGGGAUUAGCUUGUUGGUGGGGUAACGUCUCACCAAGGCGACGAUCCCUAGCUGGUCUGAGAGGAUGACCAGCCAAACGGGAACGGAGACACGGGCAAGACUCCUACGGGCGUGGACAGUGGGGAAUAUGGUAAAAUGAGCGCAAGCCUGAUGCAGACAUGCCGCGUGUCUGAAGAAGGCCUUCGGGUUGUAAAGUACUUUCAGCGGGGAGGCGUGACCCGCAGAAGAAGCACCGGCUAACUCCGGGCCAGCAGCCGCGGUAAUAC
rnacentral:rRNA from 1 species